CUCAAUGGACAUGAGUUUGGAUGAACUCCGGGAGUUGGUGAUGAACAGGGAAGCCUGGCAUGCUGUGGUUCGUGGGGUUGCAAAGAGUCGGACACGACUGAGCGACUAAACUGAUACUGAACUGAUGAAGGUUCCUUGGUCAUCAGGGUGUACUUUCAUCAGUGACUGAAGUAGCUGAAGACUUGAUCCUUGCAGAACCUGAUAGCGAGCAACAUUCUUUGACUUACAAAAA